CCUACGGGAGACUGCAGUGGGGAAUAUUGGUCAAUGGGCGAAAGCCUGACCCAGCAAUGCCGCGUGAAUGAAGAAGGUCUUAGGAGUGUAAAAUUUUGUCCUCUGGGGAGAAAAAAAUGACGGUACUCUAGGAGGAAGACUCGGCUAACUACGUGCCAGGAGUCGCGGCAAUACGGAGGGGGCGAGCAUUGUCCGGAAUUACUGGGCGUAAAGGGAGCGUGGGGGGCACUACAAGUCGCAUGUGAAAUACCCGGGCUUAACUUGGGGGUUGGAUGGGAAACUGUAGGGCUUGAGUACAGGGGAGGCACGCGGAAUUCCUAGUGUAGCGGUGAAAUGCAUAGAUAUUAGGAGGAACUC
rnacentral:rRNA from 1 species